UCAUCACCUGGAAACACAAUGAAUCCUUCAACAUGUUAAAGUGUGUCUGUGAAAGGAUAUAAAUUGAAUGAAUAUGCCCUUGUCCUAGGGUGGUUGAUGAUCUAGGUAACUAUUCUGGUCUCUGCUUUUCUAUAAUGUUUGUUGUCUUUUUGUUAGAUUAAAGCUACUAAGGUGUAGAAAGUCUGCAGCUUCCAUGGACACACGUUGAGCAACUCCAUUUUGGCAAACCAGUAUGACCAUUUGCCAAAGCACAGGCACAAGAAUGGCAGAAGUGUGCCUUGCUCUGGGACUUGCACCCACAGGUGGCCAGGUCUUGGUGGAGUGACACAAUAUGUAUUUGUGCAGUGACAUUUUGCAAAGACCUGAUGGCAUGUGUUUCUAUUGAGAAGGCAGAGCAACUUUGUCUUUGUCACCUCAAUGAUGCGUUGUUCCUGGGCCUGUUUCUCCUACCUCAGUCAUGUAUGGACACUUCUGGAGCAGGCAUGGAAGAUGUGGAGUGAGAAGGUACCACUGUUCCCGUGCACUGCUCUUCACAACAUGCGAAUGCCUGCUUGGACCUGUGCUAAUGGGUGCCAUGGAAACAGGAUUUGUUCCUCACCACAGUCUGGGCUUACGACCACAUAACUUGUUUCAGACAAGUGUGAACUCAAGCAUAAGGUUGGACUCAUGCUUAAAAUCAAUCCUGAAGUAGCCAUAAUAACCACUUCACUAGUUAUGGAGGGCUGAGCUUGCAAGAGCUAUUUUGUGCCCUGAAAAUGUGAAUGCUGUUUACAGUACAUUUUCUUAGUUGGUAGGAUUUAUAAGUACACAUCCUGAUGUAGCCUUUUCCAAGUCUCUACACUGAAAGAUAAUAAUUAAUUUUGCAGGAGACAAAAGUCCACAAUGAAUGAAGUAUCAGGGCUUAAAAAAACCUCUAAAUCUAACAGUCUGCCAAAACCCCACACACUAAUUAUAAAGCUUAUAUAAUUCUUUAUGGUACACAUUAAUCUAAAUUGAAAACAUGGGCCACAAAUUUGAGCUCACCACAAGUCACUAACCUGUUACCUUUUUGUUUUCAUUAUCAUCUGCUGUUUUUCUAUGCACGCAAAAUAAUUCUCAUCUAAAUGUCCAAGUAUUUCAUAAGUACUUAGAUGAGUAACACUCUUGUUCCAAGGAAAACACGGUCUAAUAUGGAACAAAGCACAAGUAAUUAAGAGGAGCAAAAAGGAGAUUCGAUAACAUAAAUGGGAUCCUGCUGCUUUCCUAUGAUAUUUUUGCUUCAUUCUGGAGUUGUCUGAUACUAAGUGAUAAAUAAAAUCUGUUAUUUCCAACUGCUGCACAAACAUGCCAAUUGCAGUUUUCUGGGCUUUACUGUUGGACUUGUCUUUGUAAUAAUCAUUAAAGAGGUCAGUUUUCAAGCAAA